UUGGUCCUCGGGGGGCAGCAGUAGGGAAUUUUCGUCAAUGGGCGCAAGCCUGAACGAGCGAUGCCGCGUGAGUGAAGAAGGCCUUCGGGUCGUAAAGCUCUGUUGCGGGGGAAAAAAGGCAGCAUCAGGAAAUGGGUGCUGACUGAUGGUGCCCCGCCAGAAAGUCACGGCUAACUACGUGCCAGCAGCCGCGGUAAUACGUAUGGGGCAAGCGUUAUCCGGAUUUACUGGGGGUAAAGGGAGCGUAGGCGGCCUGGCAAGCCUGAUGUGAAAUACCGGGGCCCAACCCCGGGGCUGCAUUGGGG
rnacentral:rRNA from 1 species